rnacentral:rRNA from 1 species
UACGAAGGGGGCUAGCGUUGCUCGGAAUUACUGGGCGUAAAGGGCGCGUAGGCGGACAGUUUAGUCAGAGGUGAAAGCCCAGGGCUCAACCUUGGAAUUGCCUUUGAUACUGGCUGUCUUGAGUUCGGGAGAGGUGAGUGGAAUGCCGAGUGUAGAGGUGAAAUUCGUAGAUAUCAGGAGGAACAACAGUGGCGAAGGCGACUCUCUGGACUAUUACUGACGCUGAGGCGCGAAAGCGUGGGGAGCAAACAGG